AGAGUUUGAUCCUGGCUCAGGAUGAACGCUAGCGGCAGGCUUAACACAUGCAAGUCGAGUGGUAACACGGGUGCUUGCACCUGGUGACGACCGGCGGAUGGGUGAGUAACACGUAUGGAACCUGCCCCUUACUGGAGGAUAGCCCGGAGAAAUCCGGAUUAAUACUCCGUAAUAAAGGAAGUGGCAUCACUUCUUUUUGAAAGCUCCGGCGGUAAGGGAUGGCCAUGCGCCCGAUUAGCUUGUUGGUGGGGUAACGGCCCACCAAGGCGACGAUCGGUAGGGGGCCUGAGAUGGUUAUCCCCCACACUGGUACUGAGACACGGACCAGACUCCUACGGGAGGCAGCAGUGAGGAAUAUUGCGCAAUGGAGGCAACUCUGACGCAGCCAUGCCGCGUGCAGGAAGAAGGCGCUAAGCGUUGUAAACUGCUUUUGAUCGGAAAGAAACCCCGGGACGUGUCCCGGGUUGACGGUACCGGUCGAAUAAGCACCGGCUAACUUCGUGCCAGCAGCCGCGGUAAUACGAAGGGUGCAAGCGUUAUCCGGAUUCAUUGGGUUUAAAGGGUGCGUAGGCGGAACGAUAAGUCGGCGGUGAAAGCCCGUAGCUUAACUACGGAAUUGCCGUUGAUACUGU
rnacentral:rRNA from 1 species